GGAGGCUGAGGCAGGAGAAUCGCUUGAGCCCAGGAGGCAGAGAUUGUGGUAAGCCAAGAACGUACCACUGCACUCCAGCCUGGGUGACAGAGUGAGACCCUGUCUCA